rnacentral:rRNA from 2 species
AUGCGACCAUACCCACUGGAGAACUCGGGAUCCCGUCCGCUCUCCCAUCGAUAAACCAGUGAGGGCCGGAGUAGUAGUUGGGUCGGUGACGACCAGCGAAUGCCUGGUGUUGCAUG